CAGUCGCCGCGGUAAUACGAAGGGUGCAAGCGUUAAUCGGAAUUACUGGGCGUAAAGCGUGCGUAGGCGGUGAGUUAAGUCUGUUGUGAAAUCCCCGGGCUCAACCUGGGAGUGGCAAUGGAUACUGGCAAGCUAGAGUGUGUCAGAGGAUGGUGGAAUUCCCGGUGUAGCGGUGAAAUGCGUAGAGAUCGGGAGGAACAUCAGUGGCGAAGGCGGCCAUCUGGGACAACACUGACGCUGAGGCACGAAAGCGUGGGGAGCAAACAGGAUUAGAUACCCCCGUAGUCCCUGUCUCUUAUAC
rnacentral:rRNA from 1 species